rnacentral:rRNA from 1 species
UACGGGGGGGGCAAGCGUUGUUCGGAAUUACUGGGCGUAAAGGGCUGGUAGGCGGCCAACUAAGUCGGAUGUGAAAUCCCCAGGCUUAACCUGGGAACUGCAUCCGAUACUGGUCGGCUUGAAUCCGGGAGAGGGAUGCAGAAUUCCAGGUGUAGCAGUGAAAUGCGUAGAUAUCGUGAGGAAUACCAGAGGCGAAGGCGGCUACCUGGACAAUUGCUGACGCUCAGGCACGAAAGCGUGGGGAGCAAAAGGG